rnacentral:rRNA from 1 species
GUUGGGAGCGCUCCCAUAUGGUCGACCUGCAGGCGGGCGCGAAUUCACUAGUGAUUAGAGUGUGAUCAUGGGUCAGAUUGAACGCUGGCGGCAUGCCUAACACAUGCAAGUCGAACGGCAGCAUGCCUUUAGGAAACUAGAGGUGGUGGCGAGUGGCGGACGGGUGAGUAGCGCAUAGGAAUUUAGCUUACAGAAGGGGAUAGCCUGGGGAAACCUGGGGUAAUACCGUAUAAAGUCGAGAGACCAAAAGCCGGGGACCGAGAGGCCUGGUGCUGUGAGGGGAGCCUAUGUCGGAUUAGCUAGUUGGUAGGGUAAAGGCCUACCAAGGCGACGAUCCGUAGCUGGUCUGAGAGGACGGCCAGCCACACUGGGACUGAGACACGGCCCAGACUCCUACGGGAGGCAGCAGUGGGGGAUAUUGGACAAUGGGGGGAACCCUGAUCCAGCGAUGCCGCGUGUGUGAAGAAGGCCUUCAAGGUUGUAAAGCACUUUUGUCCGGAAAGAAAACCUCGUGGUUAAUACCCGUGGGGGAUGACGGUACCGUAAGAAUAAGCCCCGGCUAACUACGUGCCAGCAGCCGCGGUAAUACGAAUCG